AUCUCUGCUGGGAAUCCCCUUCCUCCCCUGCUUGGCACCCACCUCCAUCCUAUGGCUUCCCUCUCCUCAAGGCGCUUCCUCAGCUCAGCGGGGGAAAACGGGAAUUCCUCCUCAUCCCUUCAGUGAUUCCUCACCCUCUUUAGGCCAGGAAUGUGUAAGGAGAAGGCUGAAGUAAGGCCACGCUCAGGGCAGGCCUGCUCGGCUCCCUCCCCAGACUCCCAGGUGUGCAGCUCCUCCAUCCCACACGGGCUGCUGCUCCUGCUCGUCCAGCCGGAGCUUUUCCAAUGAUUCUGCAAAGAGCAGCACUGAGGAAACGUCCUAGCAGGCUUUCAGGGGAAGCAGAAUGUGGUGCCACAGAAAAAUUCCCAAAUCCAUCCAUGUGGGAGAUGUAUCUGCAAGGAGCAGGACUGUGAUUGAACAGCUUGAAAAUGUGAGCUGACAGCCUCAAACCCAUAAUGGUGUAACCUUUGGAACAGCUGGAUGGAGCAAGGAGCAGAGAGGAGUGACUGCAGUCACAGGAGGAGUCAGUGGCAGCCUCAGGGGAAAGAAAAUAUGGGCAUGGGUGAUUCUAUUCAAAAGGAACGACAACAAAAAUCUUAAAAUUAUUUGAAAGAAUGAACAGCUAUUGCCUGUGCAAUAGGAAGGACAGUUGCACAGACUGAUUUGUAAGAGAAUAAGACUGAAAAUUCAUGUGGAGGAAAGCAACAAAGCCAACAGCAAAAAUGCCAAGAAAGCCUUGAACUGCUUGUGUCAAGUUCUUCCCUCCUGAAUUCUCCUGAGGACUCUUGCAGUCUGAAAUGUCGCAUGCAUUGGGAACAUGACACCUGUUAAGUGGCACAGGAAUCCAGUGUGAAGACUGGUUUUGGUAAAAUUGAAGUUCUAAAGUUCAGACCAAGAUCAGCAAACCUGAGGCUUACCAAUAACUGAGGUGCUAAUGGAGCAAGAGAGAAGAACAAAGUAGGGGUAAGAAUUAAACUGAGUUACACUUUAAAUGAUGUACAACUGCAAAACCAGAACUGGAGCUGUUGUCUAAGAAAGUGCCUGGAGUCAUGUGGAGGGUCUGUAUGUAAAGGAUUGUUUCCUUUCAAUAGGAUUUACAGUUUGUAGACAAGAGUUAUGUUCUGUAUUUUAUGGCCAGAGAUAUGUCCAUUUCAAAUAGUGUUGCUAAAAUCUACUGGAAACAGAGAUGGUGCUGCUCCUGUGACCACUGAGCCACAGCCAGCUGCAGGCACCACUGAACAGAAAGGACGAGUGCAGUCCAGUGCAGCUGGUCCCUCCCAGGGCAGUGGUGCAGUGGCAACGCCAGGUCCUGCUGUACUGCUGGGAGGAGUGGCUGAGCCAGUGCUGCCACUGGGGCUCUGCUGAGCUGUCCCCUCCUUGCUGCAGCCCUGCAGCCAGCCCGGGGCUGCUCCAGGGACUGACCCUCCUCAGGGGGCAUCCUCUGGGUCUGCUUCCCCUUCCCCUGGCACCCCCACUCUGCUGGCACAGGAAAUGUGCCACAGCAAGGGGAGCUGUGGCCCCUCACUAUCAGGCUCAUUACCAAAAUGUUUAUGGA